ACGGGGGUUGCAAGCGUUGUCCGGAAUUACUAGGCGUAAAGGGCAGGUAGGCGGAUCCAUAAGUUUUUUGUUAAAGGCAACGGCUUACCCGUUGUAAGGCAGGAGAUACUGUGGAUCUGGAAUGCGGUUGGGGAAGACAGAAUUCCUGGUGUAGCGGUGAAAUGCUCAGAGAUCAGGAGGAACACCGAAGGCGAAGGCAGUCAACUGGACCGGCAUUGACGCUAAACUGCGAGGGUGUGGGUAUCAAACAG
rnacentral:rRNA from 1 species